GAUGAACGCUGGCGGCGUGCCUAACACAUGCAAGUCGGACGGGAGUGGACGCAAGUUUGCUCCAGUGGCGCACGGGUGAGUAACACGUAGCUGACCUGUCCUGGAGCGGGGGAUAACGCCGCGAAAGCGGCGCUAAGCCCGCCUAAGCUCACGGUCUUUAGAGGACUGGGAGAAAACCGAAAGGUACUUCAGGAGGGGGCUGCGGCCCAUCAGGUAGUUGGUGGGGUAAGAGCCUACCAAGCCGACGACGGGUAGGGGGUCUGAGAGGGUGGUCCCCCACACUGGGACUGAGACACGGCCCAGACUCCUACGGGAGGCAGCAGUGAGGAAUAUUGGUCAAUGGCCGCAAGGCUGAACCAGCGACGCCGCGUGGGCGAUGAAGGCCUU
rnacentral:rRNA from 1 species